UGAGGCCUCUGGGUCACCUCCCACCCGUGUUUAUCGUACCUUGUUGCUUCGGCGGGCCCGCCUCACGGCCGCCCUUCUGCCCUCUGGCCCGCGCCCGCCGAAGACACCAUUGAACGCUGUCUGAAGAUUGCAGUCUGAGCAAUUAGCUAAAUAAGUUCUUUCAACAACGGAUCUCUUGGUUCCGGCAUCGAUGAAGAACGCAGCGAAAUGCGAUACGUAAUGUGAAUUGCAGAAUUCAGUGAAUCAUCGAGUCUUUGAACGCACAUUGCGCCCCUUGGUAUUCCCAUGCCUGUCCGAGCGUCAUUGCUGCCCUCAAGCACGGCUUGUGUGUUGGGCUCCGUCCUCCUUCCCGGGGGACGGGCCCGAAAGGCAGCGGCCACCGCGUCCGGUCCUCGAGCGUAUGGGGCUUCGUCUUCCGCUCUUGUAGGCCCGGCCGGCGCUUGCCGACAACAAUCAAUCUUUUUU
rnacentral:misc_RNA from 1 species